rnacentral:rRNA from 1 species
GGCGAACGCUGGCGGCACGCCUCAUACAUGCAAGUCGAGCGAUCGGCCGCGGGGAGCUUGCUCCCUGUGGUACGGAGCGGCGCACGGGUGAGUAACACGUGGGUAACCUGCCUCGAAGACUGGGACAACCCCGGGAAACUGGGGCUCAUACCGGAUACCCUCCCCGGGUCGCAUGGCCUGGGGAGAAAAUGAAUUUCGCUUCGAGAGGGGCCCGCGGCCUAUCAGCUAGUUGGUGGGGUAACGGCCUACCAAGGCUUUGACGGGUAGCCGGCCUGAGAGGGCGAACGGCCACAUCGGGACUGAGACACGGCCCGGACUCCUACGGGGGGCAGCAGUAGGGAAUCUUGCACAAUGGGCGCAAGCCUGAUGCAGCGAUGCCGCGUGAGGGAUGAAGGCCUUCGGGUUGUAAACCUCUUUCAGUAGGGAAGAAGCCACGGGUAACCGUGGUGACGGUACCUGCAGAAGAAGCCCCGGCUAACUACGUGCCAGCAGCCGCGGUAACAC